UAGGGAAUCUUCCGCAAUGGACGAAAGUCUGACGGAGCAACGCCGCGUGAACGAUGAAGGCCUUCGGGUCGUAAAGUUCUGUUGUUAGGGAAGAACAAGUACCGUUCAAAUAGGUCGGUACCUUGACGGUACCUAACGAGAAAGCUACGGCUAACUACGUGCCAGCAGCCGCGGUAAUACGUAGGUGGCAAGCGUUGUCCGGAAUUAUUGGGCGUAAAGCGCGCGCAGGCGGUCUCUUAAGUCUGAUGUGAAAGCCCACGGCUCAACCGUGGAGGGUCAUUGGAAACUGGGGGACUUGAGUGCAGAAGAGGAGAGUGGAAUUCCAUGUGUAGCGGUGAAAUGCGUAGAUAUAUGGAGGAACACCAGUGGCGAAGGCGACUCUCUGGUCUGUAACUGACGCUGAGGCGCGAAAGCGUGGGGAGCAAACA
rnacentral:rRNA from 1 species